UACGUAGGGUGCAAGCGUUAAUCGGGAUUACUGGGCGUGAAGCGCGUGUAGGCGGCUAAGUAAGUCGGGCGUGAAAUCCCACGGCUCAACCGUGGAAGUGCACUCGAAACUGCAUAGCUAGAGUCCUGGAGAGGAAGGUGGAAUGCUUGGUGUAGAGGUGAAAUUCGUAGAUAUCAAGCGGAACACCGGUGGCGAAGGCGGCCUUCUGGACAGUGACUGACGCUGAGACGCGAAAGCGUGGGGAGCAAACAGG
rnacentral:rRNA from 1 species